ensembl:lncRNA novel transcript, antisense to ANK1
CGGCGCGGACCCCUGGUUGCCCCGGGGUCGAGAGCAGCCGGGGAGAGCUGAGUUCAGAGCCCAGAGUUGGACAUCAGGCCACACGCUGAGAGGGUAGUAAAUGAAAGGGAGUCCGGUUUAGUCGCGGGCAGGGCAUCUCCUCUUCUGCUUGUCUAAAAGUCGCUGGGUGCAGGGGAAGCAAUACUAAGCGGGAAUUUCUUUUUAGUGGCAUCUACACAAUUUGCCUUUCCUGGUUUUUGUUUUGUUUUGUUUUGUUUCCUAAGGAGGGGGAGGCUCUGUAGAGGAAGCUUCGGCCCUGGGUGCCCCUGGGUUGGGAGCAGUCGGGGAGCGCUGAGCCAGGGCGCACGCCCUGUCGGCGCUGCGGGUGUGGGGCGCAGGAGUCCUUCUGGCCGGCCCCUCCGCCCCCCGGGGAGGCUGGAGCUCUCCAAGGCCGGGGAGCCUCCCGAAGCGCGCUGCCCCCUCUGUUCUCCGCGUGCUUUCACUAGGGCCCCAUGCUGCUUAGUGGCCGAUUUGCAGGGAAUCUGGGCACAAUCUUAAUAACACCAGGGCCAAAAAUAACAACGUUCCUGGGAACCGAGCAGCUGGAGCGCACCCCAUGGACGCUGGGCCAUCUCCCCGGGGACUAGUGCCUGACAGAGCUGACAGAGUUCUAGGCCACAUGUGGGCUAGAAGGAACCGCCAUGUCUACCACAGCACAGUCCUUAAGCAGGAGCCUUUUGAAGCACUUGGACUCAAAACAAUGGCUGUUUGUUGUUGUUGUU